UUUUGAUGUAGGCUGAAAUUUGUUUGGUUAGAGCCAGAGGCUCUCUAUAAACUUUGCCCUUUUUGAAUACACCGACUCUAGCUUUUGUCAUGUGAUUGUUUAGAUAAGGUUUCACAUUAAAAGUGAGAGCCCCAAGAUCAGAAAUGCAUUUCUGCAACGCCCACAUUUUUAAAUGUCCGAGUACUUUAGAAGGAAAGGUUUGGAAGUGUACACUAAAAACCAAGCUCUUCACAAGCAAAGAAUGGAUAGUCUGAGCUUGACUUCUGUUGUGCCCUUUCAGUGAGACCAUCAGAAGCAGCAGAAAUGAAUUGAUGAACAAGAUUUUUCUAAAGUUGUUCCUGUUGCAGUGAGAGAGGUGUUCAUGCUCUGAGUUUCACCAGAAAAGAACUACCGGUCGGCAGUGGCCCUAGUCCGACCCUAGGCCUUUAGGUCUGGGCCGGCCCAUUUCCAGCCCUAAUGCACAAAGGGUGCAGUUGGCAUACGGAUAGGUGUAGAGGUAAGAAACCAUUUAGCUACCACCUCUCUCUCUCUCUCAGACAACAUCCCCGAACUCUAUUAUUUGCAGGGAGAAAAAGCAGGAUCAACCACCUUAAUUGAACACAUAAAGAAAAUGCUCCUCCUAAAUAAAUCUCACCAUACUUUCCUCUAUCCAAAGGUGAUCAUCCUACUACUAUUAGUGUCGAUUUCCCCAAAAUGCCCCAUGGCCCGAGACAUCCGACCCUCCGACCACGGCCUUUCUUUCGAAAGCCCAGUGGCCGUCGUCUCCCCCCAAACCAAAUCAUUCUUUGCGGGGAGUUCAAGUGAUACUGUUGCACUGCCGGAAGCUCAGGACUCCAAUAACUUCCCCAAUUUUCCGGUGACUGAAGUCCGGCAUUCGGAACAGCGGUCGACCAUGGGCAAAACUGGAAAUAUUCUUUUGGUGAC